rnacentral:rRNA from 1 species
GAUGAACGCUGGCGGCGUGCCUAAUACAUGCAAGUCGAGCGAACGGACGAGAAGCUUGCUUCUCUGAUGUUAGCGGCGGACGGGUGAGUAACACGUGGAUAACCUACCUAUAAGACUGGGAUAACUUCGGGAAACCGUAGCUAAUACCGGAUAAUAUUUUGAACCGCAUGGUUCAAAAGUGAAAGACGGUCUUGCUGUCACUUAUAGAUGGAUCCGCGCUGCAUUAGCUAGUUGGUAAGGUAACGGCUUACCAAGGCAACGAUGCAUAGCCGACCUGAGAGGGUGAUCGGCCACACUGGAACUGAGACACGGUACAGACUCCUACGGGAGGCAGCAGUAGGGAAUCUUCCGCAAUGGGCGAAAGCCUGACGGAGCAACGCCGCGUGAGUGAUGAAGGUCUUCGGAUCGUAAAACUCUGUUAUUAGGGAAGAACAUAUGUGUAAGUAACUGUGCACAUCUUGACGGUACCUAAUCAGAAAGCCACGGCUAACUCCGUG